rnacentral:rRNA from 1 species
UACGUAGGGUGCAAGCGUUGUCCGGAAUCAUUGGGCGUAAAGAGCUCGUAGGCGGUCUGUCGCGUCGGCUGUGAAAACCCGGAGCUCAACUCCGGGCCUGCAGUCGAUACGGGCAAACUGGAGUACUGCAGGGGAGACUGGAAUUCCUGGUGUAGCGGUGAAAUGCGUAGAUAUCGGAAGGAACACCGAUGGCGAAAGCAGCGUGCUGGACCUUUUCUGACGCUGAGGCGCGAAAGCCAGGGGAGCAAACGGG